rnacentral:rRNA from 1 species
AUUGAACGCUGGCGGCAGGCCUAACACAUGCAAGUCGAACGGCAGCACAGAAGAGCUUGCUCUCUGGGUGGCGAGUGGCGGACGGGUGAGUAAUGUCUGGGAAACUGCCCGAUGGAGGGGGAUAACUACUGGAAACGGUAGCUAAUACCGCAUAACGUCGCAAGACCAAAGUGGGGGACCUUCGGGCCUCACACCAUCGGAUGUGCCCAGAUGGGAUUAGCUAGUAGGUGGGGUAAUGGCUCACCUAGGCGACGAUCCCUAGCUGGUCUGAGAGGAUGACCAGCCACACUGGACCUGAGACACGGUCCAGACUCCUACGGGAGGCAGCAGUGGGGAAUAUUGCACAAUGGGCGCAAGCCUGAUGCAGCCAUGCCGCGUGUAUGAAGAAGGCCUUCGGGUUGUAAAGUACUUUCAGCGGGGAGGAAGGCGGUGAGGUUAAUAACCUCGCCGAUUGACGUUACCCGCAGAAGAAGCACCGGCUAACUCCGUGCCAGCAGCCGCCGUAA